rnacentral:rRNA from 1 species
UACCUGCAGCUCAAGUGGUGACCACUAUUAUUGGGCCUAAAACGUUCGUAGCCGGUUUAUUAAAUGCUUGGGUAAAUCGUGUAGCUUAACUAUACGAAUUCCGGGUAGACUGAUAGACUUGAGACCGGGAGAAGCUAGAGGUACUCCUGGGGUAGAGGUGAAAUUCUGUAAUCCUGGGGGGACCACCAGUGGCGAAGGCGUCUAGCUAGAACGGGUCUGACGGUGAGGAACGAAGCCCUGGGGCGCAAACCGGAUUAGAUACCCGGGUAGUCCAGGGUGUAAACGCUGCUUGCUUGGUGUUAGUUGGGCUCCGAGCCCAAUUAGUGUCGGAGAGAAGUUGUUAAGCAAGCUGCCUGGGAAGUACGAUCGCAAGAUUGAAACUUAAAGGAAUUGGCGGGGAGCACAGCAACGGGUGGAGCGUGCGGUUU